rnacentral:rRNA from 1 species
AACGAACGCUGGCGGCAGGCUUAACACAUGCAAGUCGAACGGGUGUAGCAAUACAUCAGUGGCAGACGGGUGAGUAACACGUGGGAACCUUCCUAGGGGUACGGAACAACUCAGGGAAACUUGAGCUAAUACCGUAUACGUCCGUGAGGAGAAAGAUUUAUCGCCCUUAGACGGGCCCGCGGCGGAUUAGCUAGUUGGUGGGGUAACGGCCUACCAAGGCGACGAUCCGUAGCUGAUCAUAGAGGAGGAUCAGCCACACUGGGACUGAGACACGGCCCAGACUCCAACGGGAGGCAACAGUGGGGAAUCUUGGACAAGGGGCGCAAGCCUGAUCCAGCCAUGCCGCGGGAGUGAAGAAGGUCUUCGGAUUGUAAAGCUCUUUUGCCAGGGACGAUAAUGACGGUACCUGGAGAAUAAGCCCCGGCAAACUUCGUGCCAGCCGCCGCCGUAA